CCCCUGAACGUGCGAAAGAGUGGCUCUCCAAAGCAUGGAGGAAAGAAAGGGCGUUCCUGCUGAACAGCCGGGGCAGCUGGUGCUGUAAAAGGGCGCUCGUGAGACUCCUCUCUGCCGGGGCUGGGGCCUCCGGCUGGGCUGCUGUCUUCUGAGGUUGAGUGGAGUCAGAGCUGGGAGACGUGGGAGCUGGUGGGUCCGAGGGAGGUGUAGGGGACAGUGGAGACGUGCCAAGUCGGUGGGCCUGCACGACCCCUGCAGCAGCCGCCACGAGGGGUUCCGACGCUCAGCUUUCUUGGCCGGGCCCGACUGGGAGUUGCUGGAUGCCCCCGUGAGCAGCUAAGAUGGUCCCUGCGAGUCAGUGCUUUACUCAUGAAGGUCGGAGACGCAAGGGAGCAGCACGUUGUCCAGCCCCUUUCUCAUGCAGAUGGGGAAACUGAGGCCCAGAGUGAGUCAGUUCUCCUGAUUCUACGUGCUUGCCAAAUUACUCUUUACUUAAACGUUUCAAACAGACUUUUCAAAUGUCUUGUCCUGUGUCGUCGGCUGCACACCAUGUUAAGCCUGCUGGCCUUGGGCCUGCCACGCCCCUGGCCCUGUGCAUACAGGGCCUGCAGCACUGAACAAGACUCCAACAGCCGGCCAGUUUGUUCAGACAGGAAGUGGCAGACGGAUCCAGGAGGGAAGAAAAGUCAUUUAAGGCUUAAGAUUUCCCAGACAAUGGCAGCGAGGGACCGGCCCUGUGGAUGAAGCCUACCUUCCAGGGCUACAAAGCUAAGUCCCAUUGAUGAAGUCUGAUACUGUCGUCCACUGUGAGGUGCCAGCCAUACCACGUCAUUCCCCAUUCAUUAAUGACGUAUUUAGCGAUUCCUAUGAUGCACCAGCCACUGUGCUUGUCCAGCCAGGGAGAGAGCCAGCAGCUCAGCCAUUACACGCAUGUGCAGUAUGGUAAAUGCUAGAGAGAGGAGGAUCCGGGAGAAGGGAGCCAGCAGCUCAGGGCAGGGGAGGAUGGUGGCAGGCUGAGCCGAUCAGGAAGGCCCCGGAGGCAGCUGUGUUUGCAUUGGGAUCUGAAGAACGAGCAUCAGUUCGCCAGCAGAAGGGGGAGUAAAUGUGCUCUGGGCAGAUGGUGCAGCAUAUGGAAUGUUUGUGGGGUUGGUGGGGAGAGAGAGAGAGAGAAAUGGGAGAAAGACCUGCCUGUUUGGGGUGCUGAAUGGAGUCAGUAUGUAGAAUGCCAGGCUAGAAACGGCUGGAGAUGAGGCUGAAGAAAUAAGUAGGGGCCGGAUCCCGGGGGCCUGUGAAUCACGUUAUGGGGGCUGUACUUUCUUCCCAAGGGCAUGGGAGCCAUUGAAGCGUGUUAACAAGCAGAUGCGUGUUCUAGAAAGGCUUCUGAGAUCUCCUCUUCUCCCUCCUGCAGCUCUGAGGACAGAUCCCUAAGAGCCUCUUGGGCAGAAGUUCAUGUGACAUACCUAGGAUGGGAGUGGUCCCACUGCCACACUGAGUUUUAGGCCCGGCUCACAUACAGCUUAGAGCAAGAUGGUGACAGAUGACUCAUCCCCAAAUGACACGACGGAGCAGUCAUGGGAAGGAGGCACCUGUCAGCGUCAAGCUUACCUGGUUUGCUGGUGGACCGCACGUUUAACUGUGGAACAGGAUGCAAGCCUCUUGUCCUUCUAAAACCUUUUUAAAUCUCUCUUCUGCAUCAUGCUCUCCACCUCCUCUCCACUCUGCUCGUCUCCCUUCCACUCUCAGCUUUGUUAUCCAAGCCUAGGUCUUCUGGUUUCCACCGUGUGCCAGAGAAGAUCUGAGCCCAGCGUCACUUGAUUUUGACCAGGGAAGAAAUACUGCAGGUAUCAGCUGGGAGGGCUGGAAAGGCGCUGGUACUGGUGCUGGACAACCUGGGCCUCUAGUCCUGGCUCUACCAGCCUCCAGCCAUCUGACAUGGCGCAGAACCACUUUUCGUCUAUGAGCCUGUUUCCUCAUCUGUAACAUGGGGCUAAUCGCACGUGGAUGGUGUGACAAUGAACUGAGGUUUUAUUUGUGAAAGUGCUUUAUAAACUGCAAAGCUCUGAAUCAAUGUUUAUUCUGGGUUAUUAUGCACUGCUUUGCUAGAGGAUUCUACCAGAGGGAUGGCAGGGAUAAUAACAAAGAGAUCUGUUGUCUGGGGAUAUUUCUGUCACGUAGAUAUAAAUAUAGAUAAAUAUACACCUGUCACAAAAUUUAGACAAAGAAGGAUGUGAACUUUCCUCCCAAUUUUGCCCCCCAGCAGCAACUAUUGAUUGUUGGUUAUAUAUUCUCCAAGAUAUACACAAAAU
rnacentral:lncRNA from 1 species